UGCUUUGUGGUUGAGUGGUAAGGACACUUGCCUCUCAUCUUAGAGUCCCGAGUUCGAUCCCUGGCAGAGGAG